rnacentral:rRNA from 1 species
ACUCAAAUGAAUUGACGGGGGCCCGCACAAGCGGUGGAGCAUGUGGAUUAAUUCGUCACUAACCGAAGAACCUUACCCAGGCUUGACAUCGAGGGAAAGGCCGUGAAAGCGGUCCCCUAGAGCAAUCUAGCCCGAAGACAGGUGUUGCAUGGCUGUCGUCAGCUCGUGUCGUGAGAUGUUGGGUUAAGUCCCGCAACGAGCGCAACCCUCACCGUAUGUUGCCAGCGUAAAGUCGGGAACUCUUACGGAACUGCCCGUGCAAGCGGGAGGAAGGUGGGGAUGACGUCAAGUCGGCAUGGCCCUUACGCCUGGGGCUUCACACAUGCUACAAUGGGCGGCGACAGAGCGUUCCGAUCCCGUGAGGGGGAGGCAAUCGCACAAAUCCGUCCUCAGUUCGGAUUGCAGGCUGCAACUCGCCUGCAUGAAGCCGGAAUCGCUAGUAACCGCAGGUCAGCUAAACUGCGGUGAAUACGUUCCCGGGCCUUGUACACACCGCCCGU